UAGGCAAAUUCCUUAAUCUCUAAACCUCUGUAAUCUGGAUUUUAAGGGUUAUUGAGAGGAUUCAAUGAGUUAGUCCUUGUAAUGUGCGUCUGUUCUGGAUUUCUGGGACAAGAGUCUAAUUAACUGUCUUAGUCCCCUUAGCUCAGAAAGGUGUUAGGCAUUUUUGAGAGCAUUCCCCGAGUUUCACAGCUGCAACCUCCUCCACCUCCCCUUUCAGCGGUGACUUCCACAGUAAAGCAAGCCCUACAGGAGUCCCUGGUGCAGAUUCUGCAGCCACAGCGUCGUGUAGACAUGCUCCGGGACAUCAUGGAUGCCCAGCGUCGCCAGCGCCCUUAUGUUGUCACCUUCUGCGGCGUUAAUGGAGUGGGGAAAUCUACCAAUCUUGCCAAGAUUUCCUUCUGGUUGUUAGAGAAUGGCUUCAGUGUCCUCAUUGCUGCCUGUGAUACAUUUCGUGCCGGGGCUGUGGAGCAGCUGCGUACACACACCCGGCGUCUGAGUGCCCUACACCCUCCAGAGAAGCAUGGUGGCCGUACCAUGGUGCA
rnacentral:sRNA from 1 species